GUCAUGUAUAAAUGUAUUUCAAAUGAAAGCUUUAAUUCCAUUGAUAUGAUUAUGAUAAUAAAUUACAGUACGUGAUGGAAUGUCAUUUGUAGCGGUAUGAAUUAAAAUUACAUGCGAUGAAUAUAUAUGUAUUGUAGGUAUCCUGGGUAUAUAUGUACAAUGUAGGUAGGUAUAUUACAAUUAAUGAAUUAAUUAAUUUAAAUAUUUUAGUCUUAAAAGAUUAUUGAUCAUGAUCAUUAUGAUCAAUCACAAUAAAUGAUUAAUCAUAAUGAACGGUAUUUACUGAGCUUCUUCUUGUCGCUCAACAUUCUACUUUUGCUCUUUAAAGAGAGCUGAAGGGGUAGAGGUCAUUCUCAAAGGGGAAAUUGGAAUAUAAGUUACUAUUUUCUCAUGUGAAAGAACUUUUGAAACUAUAUAUUAACUUUCUUUCACCGAUUUUUCAUAUCUUGUUUAGUUCUUGAAAUAUUUUCACUUGACUGUAUAAUAAGAUGUCUGCCAUACUUUUGGUGACGUCACAACAGGGAUUAACCAUAUAAAAGUAUUCGUUGCUGACCAAAUAUUGAUUGGUAGAUGUUUUGAAGGUUUCUAGUGAUCUUGAUAUUUCGAAGGGCAAACAGAGUAUAGUUUUGAGUGCAAAAUGAUUAGUGGUUGUCUAGAUAAAAAAUAGUGCGUCACUCCUGCCGUGACGUGACAUGCAUAUCUACAAAAAUUGAAGAUGGUGGACAUUUCAUUCCUUUCAAUAAAAAUAUUUGUAGAAGUAAGCAAUGUAUGAAAAAACGGUAAAAGAGUAUUAUAUAUAGUCUUCAAAGUUCUUUCAAAUGAGAAAAUAAGAAAAUAUAUUGCCAUUUCCCUUUAAAGUUAUUUCAUUCUGAAAUGCCCAACUACGACUGUCCUUAUAAUUGUAUUUGGGUUUUCCAUUCCCUGUCAUUCCCAAUUCCAGUAACCCAAAUCCCAUUUACCCAGUCCAAAAAUAUGCAAAUCCUAGUUACCAUUUUACCCCCUUCAAGACCCUCUAUAAAUGCAGUAUCUGUUUUUACACUCAGCUACACUAUAGGUAACUAAAUCUAAAUUGAAAGUUGCCAGUGAAGGCUGGUUGGUUAGCCUGCUUGCCGCCUGGAUUUUCCAAGGGGAGAUUAAUCCCCCCUUGGAAAUUCCAGGCGGCAAGCAGGCUACUGGUUGGUUUCAUUGAACUAUAAAUAAACUGGAAGGCUAACUCAGGGGGGGGAAUUGAAGCCAGUGUAUUUUAGUUUUUCUGAGUUAUGAGCAUUGAAUGGUUGGUUUACACUAUCAAAGUUUCUGUGAUCACAGUAGGAAUUUUGCAUGGGUAAAUUCUAAGUUUUGAAGGAUUUGUAAGAAAUGUUUGAGGAAACUUACUGAGUGUUAUAAAGGAUGGUUUACACUAUCAAANNNNNNNNNNNNNNNNNNNNCUGAACGUUGGGCUAUAUAUCAAAUUGAAGCUAUUCAAAAACGCUAUUUGGUGUAGAAAUUUCAAGACUUUAGCUAAAAGGGAAAUAUUGAAAAACUACAAACAUAAUUACCGAUAAUUUGCCGUUUUGCAGUUGUUUUUGUAUUUUUUACUGUAUUUUUCUUUUCGCUGAAGUCUUGAAAUUUCCACACCGAAUAGCAAUUUUCAAUAGCUUCAAUUUGAUAUAUAGCACGACGUUUGGGGUCAAGUAUUUCAGCUCAUAACUCAGAAAAACUAUUUUGGCUUCAUCAAAUCAUAGGCCUUCAUCAUAGCAGUUAGCCUUCCAGUUUAUUUAUAGUUCAAUGGUUGGUUUACACUAUCAAAGUUUCUGUGAUCACAGUAGGAAUUUUGCAUGGGUAAAUUCUAAGUUUUGAAGGAUUUGUAAGAAAUGUUUGAGGAAACUUACUGAGUGUUAUAAAGGACGACGUUUGGGGUCAAGUAUUUCAGCUCAUAACUCAGAAAAACUAUUUUGGCUUCAUCAAAUCAUAGGCCUUCAUCAUAGCAGUUAGCCUUCCAGUUU
rnacentral:lncRNA from 1 species